rnacentral:rRNA from 1 species
GACGAACGCUGGCGGCGUGCUUAACACAUGCAAGUCGAACGGGAAGGCCCUGCUUUUGUGGGGUGCUCGAGUGGCGAAAGGGUGAGUAACACGUGAGUAACCUGCCCUUGACUUUGGGAUAACUUCAGGAAACUGGGGCUAAUACCGGAUAGGAGCUCCUGCUGCAUGGUGGGGGUUGGAAAGUUUCGGCGGUUGGGGAUGGACUCGCGGCUUAUCAGCUUGUUGGUGGGGUAGUGGCUUACCAAGGCUUUGACGGGUAGCCGGCCUGAGAGGGUGACCGGCCACAUUGGGACUGAGAUACGGCCCAGACUCCUACGGGAGGCAGCAGUGGGGAAUAUUGCACAAUGGGCGGAAGCCUGAUGCAGCAACGCCGCGUGCGGGAUGACGGCCUUCGGGUUGUAAACCGCUUUCGCCUGUGACGAAGCGUGAGUGACGGUAAUGGGUAAAGAAGCACCGGCUAACUACGUG